GGGGAAUCUUCCGCAAUGGGCGAAAGCCUGACGGAGCAACGCCGCGUGAGGGAUGAAGGCCUCUGGGCUGUAAACCUCUUUUAUCAAGGAAGAAGAUCUGACGGUGCUUGAUGAAUAAGCCACGGCUAAUUCCGUGCCAGCAGCCGCGGUAAUACGGGAGUGGCAAGCGUUAUCCGGAAUUAUUGGGCGUAAAGCGUCCGCAGGCGGUCUUACAAGUCUGUCGUUAAAGCGUGGAGCUUAACUCCAUUUCAGCGAUGGAAACUGUAAGACUAGAGUGUGGUAGGGGUAGAGGGAAUUCCCGGUGUAGCGGUGAAAUGCGUAGAUAUCGGGAAGAGCACCAGUGGCGAAGGCGCUCUGCUGGGCCAUAACUGACGCUCAUGGACGAAAGCCAGGGGAGCGAAAGGGAUUAGAUACCCCUGUAGUC
rnacentral:rRNA from 1 species